rnacentral:rRNA from 1 species
GUAGUCCACGCCGUAAACGUUGGGCGCUAGGUGUGGGGGGUUAUCCACUCCCUCCGUGCCGCAGCUAACGCAUUAAGCGCCCCGCCUGGGGUGUACGGCCGCAAGGCUAAAACUCAAAGGAAUUGACGGGGCCCGCACAAGCAGCGGAGCGUGCGGUUUAAUUCGUCGCAACGCGAAGAACCUUACCAAGGCUUGACAUGCAGGGAAAUCUCCCAGAGAUGGGAGGUCCGCAAGGGUCCUGCACAGGUGGUGCAUGGUUGUCGUCAGCUCGUGUCGUGAGAUGUUGGGUUAAG